rnacentral:lncRNA from 1 species
AGAGAACAUAUGUGACAUAGUAGCUGAAAAUUUCCCUAACCAGAGAAGGAUUAAUUCUUCAUUGGAUGAAUAUUUACUUAACCUAACUCAAUUUACACUACACUAAUAUUUUCCUAUGAAAUGAAAAACAGUCAUGUGUUUCUUCCAUACAUGAGUAAGAAUUAAGUAAAGAAUGCCUAUGAGACGAUUCUCCCAACCUAGAAAAAAAUUUAACUACCAAUGUUAUUUCCUUGUAGAAAUGCAAGUGUGUUAAUUUUAAGGAAUAAUAGUGAUAAUAAUAAAUAACUAUGAUGUGUUUUGUUGUGUGUUUGUGUGUGUGAUGUGUGUACCCAAUAUCCCUUCCCUUUUCUAGUGUCAUUACCCCACCAGCUUUGACUGCAGGGGCUGCAGAGUCAAGCCCGUGGUCCAGGUUGGCUAAUCAGAGCUUCAUCCUGCCGUAGUAAAUACUGUAGUCACAACAUGUAGCUUAAACUGGACUCAGAUCUCCAUGACGGCGUGCCCACCUUUCCUCUGGAAAUAUGAAGUUCAAGUUUAUUGGUAGAUUUGGUCUGAUAUUAUAAGGAGCCAUAGAAAGAGCCUGUCUGAAAGCAAGGCCCAGCGGAAGCACCACUGAGAGAGAGAAACAGAAUUCUGAUCAUACUAAUUGAGCCCUUGGAGCCAUCUGUGUUUAAAGGUAGUUCUAUUCUCUGUACUUCCUAGUUACAUAAGUCACAAAUUCCCUUUUAUCUCAAGAUAGUUUGAGUUUCUGUACUUUUAAAGUAAAGGGAUUCUGUCUGAUGCCAUUGGUAUUGUUGAGUAAUCAACACAUUCCCACCUGUAGGGCCAACUUUAUAUAUAUUCACCAAGUGAAUCCUCACAAAACCCCCACAAUUUACAUUCUAUCUUGAAUUUGUAAAUGAGAAAAUUCAGGUGAAAAGAAUUAAAUGAUAAGCCCUAGUUCACACAGAACUGUGGGAAACAGUUCUUCAAAACCCUUUCAUCUGAUUCAGAAUGAUGUUUUCCUAAUCAUCUUGUCACAGAUGCAAACUGACUUUAUAUACUCCCUAACUUUGAUGUGUCAGCAAAGUCUCAGCUACCUUUCAGCAUCUGAGACAACCUGGGAGGGGUACACUGGCCCUUUGAAGGUCAGAGACUUUAUCUUCCAAGGUUCUCCAUGAGUUAAUUAUUUUUGCCUAAAAUUUAUUAAUGGGUGAUGCACUGAUUUUCAAUCCUAAGACAAUUUGAUUGUAUAAUUUACUAUUAAUAAGUAAUAAUAAUUAGAGCAGCUCUAAUAUUGUCCUGAGGUGGCAUUAGUAAGUAAGAGAAAGAAAGAAAAAAAAUGGAUUUCAUAAUUUAAGUCUUAUCCACUGCUAAGUAUUUGUGUGGUCAAUUUAUUUGAGCUCUUUAAUAAGAUUUACAUUUCUCCUAAUCAUCAAUAAUUUUAAAGUAGAAAAUAAGAUAACUGGCACAGCAUAGAUUUCAAACAUCAAUUUUUACUUCCUGAGUUUUCUAUACCAUUCACAAAUAUAAUUUCAUUAUAUUAACUAUUUUAUGCACUGUCAAUUAAAUAUUUCUAUGAUAAUUGAUCAUCCUAUACUAUGAGAUAAAAAGAAAGCACAAUGAAAAGCUAAAUUAAAAAAUUCAUAACUUAAAAUUCAAUUCUAUUGGUAUGUGCUUGGGAUGUCACUGACAAACCUUAGUAUGUCCAUACCCAUGUCUCUAUAAUGGUGAUGUUAUCUCAGAGGAAACAAUUUAAUAAGCUGUUUUCAGUCUGGAAAAAAAAUGGUAUGAAACCUCAAAGACUGUUUCUAAGAAUCUCUAAAGGUCAACGCAAUAGCAAACAGAGAACACCUAGAUAUCACAAGCAAAAGUGCCCUUUAGAAAUAAAGAAUAUGUCCAAUUAAAUUGCUGCUGGAUAUCAACCACACUUGCAUAUGGUGGCAUCAUCAGAUUUGAAUAACUUUCAAAGGACUACAGUUUUCCCCUUGGUUGAUUCCAAUGGCAGUUUUCCCCUUGGUUGAUUUCAAAGAAGGACUACAGUUUUCCCCUUGGUUGAUUCCAAGGCAUAUCAUAGGACCUCAGUUUGUCUUUAAUUGAUUUUAUAUUUCUCAUGUCUGGAACAUUUGAUUUCCUUAUGCUGUGAAUUUUAGUGCGAAGGCUUUAGCCUUUAUUGUCCAAAUUAGGUAACGUUGCUUGAUGUUGUUAUAUUGAGUUUAAGGGGAAAACGUAUGCUUUUCUUGUUUGUUUCCACUGUUUUUCUGGAUAUUUUGCCUAAAUGCAAACAUCAGAUGCAACCUAGCUUGAUACCUUUCCAAGUGACACAUCAAACUAUAUCCUUUGAAGCAAUUCAUUAUUAUAAAAUGAAAUGACAGUUUACCUCAGCAGGAAGAUAGUAGUGUCACUUCAUAUUUUUCCCUAUUUUAUGUUGUGAUAUUUGCUAAAUAGGCCCUGGUAUGGUCAAUAUGUUGCUGAAUAUAUGUGUUAAUAAACAAAACAGAACACCAUACCUAAAUCACAGUAGGCACUCAAAAAUAUUGAAUACCAAACUUCAGCAAGUAUCUGGCAAUAAAUAAAUGUUUGUUGACUUGAAUGUAUUUCUUAAUCAGUUCACUUGCCCAUUAGAAAAAUCUUAUAAAAUCCCCAGGUCCUUUCCCCCAAACAAUGCAAACAGAGAUUUCACGGAACAUUUUAUGAAUAAUUUCAGGGAAGAUACAGAAUCUCUAAAGAUCCAUAUAAACAAAUUAUUUUUAAAGGAAUAAAAAUAUAGGUUUAAAAAACUUAUGCAAAGUCAAUAAAUCCUCAUAACAAUGUCUGCUUUUGAAUAAAUUAAAGGUUGGGUUUAUGACAAAGACAUCACCAAAGAUUGAUUCUAAUUCUAAUUCUAUGGUGUUAGUGAAACAGGGUAAGUGCUUUUGAAAAAAAUCUGUAAGACAUUAACUGGGAUGCUAGGAAAUUGAUCAAUCCAGCAAAAUAAUUUUUAUUUCUUAUUUUUUUUUCUUUUUACAGCCACACCCACAACAUAUGGAAGUUCCUGGGCUAGGGGUCAAAUUGGAGCUGCAGCUGCAAGCCUACAGCUCAGCCAUAGCAACACCAGAUCUGAGCCACAUCUGUGACCUAUGCUGCAGCUUCUGGCAGUGCCAGAUCCUUAACCUACUGAGUGAGGAUGCAGGUUUGACCCAUGGCCUCACUCAGUAGGUUAAGUAUCUGGCAUUGCCACAAGCUGCAGUGUAGGUUGCAGUUGUGGUUUGGAUCUGGCAUUGCUGUGGCUAUGUGGUGUAUGCCAGCAGCUGCAGCUGCAAUACAACCCCUAGGUCAGGAACUUUCAUAUAUGCUGCAGCUGGGGCCUUAAAAAUAGAAAAAAAAAAAAAAA